GCUUAGCUCAGUUGGUAGAGCGCUCUAGAAAUUAAGAGGUCCAUGGUUCAAUACCAGGACCAAGCA
rnacentral:tRNA from 1 species